rnacentral:rRNA from 1 species
UACGUAGGGUGCGAGCGUUGUCCGGAAUUAUUGGGCGUAAAGAGCUCGUAGGCGGUCUGUUACGUCGGCUGUGAAAACCUGGGGCUCAACCCCGGGCCUGCAGCCGAUACGGGCAGACUAGAGUUCGGCAGGGGAGACUGGAAUUCCUGGUGUAGCGGUGAAAUGCGCAGAUAUCAGGAGGAACACCGGUGGCGAAGGCGGGUCUCUGGGCCGAAACUGACGCUGAGGAGCGAAAGCGUGGGGAGCAAACAGG